rnacentral:rRNA from 1 species
UACGUAGGUGGCAAGCGUUGUCCGGAAUUAUUGGGCGUAAAGCGCGCGCAGGCGGUCCUUUAAGUCUGAUGUGAAAGCCCACGGCUCAACCGUGGAGGGUCAUUGGAAACUGGGGGACUUGAGUACAGAAGAGGAAAGCGGAAUUCCACGUGUAGCGGUGAAAUGCGUAGAGAUCCGGAGGAACACCGACGGCGUAGGCAGCGCCCUAGACGAGACCUGACGCUCAGGCACGAAAGCGCGGGGAGCGAACAGG